rnacentral:rRNA from 2 species
AAAUUGAAGAGUUUGAUCAUGGCUCAGAUUGAACGCUGGCGGCAGGCCUAACACAUGCAAGUCGAACGGUAACAGAAA